CCUCGGCCCCCUCCUCCCACAAGCGUCGCCUCUUCCGCUGGGUUACCUGCAGGGCCCCUCUGAGCUCCCGCCCAAGGCCUGCAGGGAGCGGCCGGAAGGCGCAGGCCGCUCAGGGCUUUGCGGAGGAACCUCAGAGGGUUCCUGCUGCCCCGCUCCGGACGCCGCCCUCCCUUUGACCCCAUUGAAAUCCCUUUGUCCGAGUACGAUUCCUCAUCCGCCCCUUGGGACAAACGGGGUAAAAUCGGGGGGAGGAUUUGAGCUGUGGCCAUCCAGGCCUCCCUCCGCGUCUUCCCUCAGCACCCCAGGAUGAAUGGCUGCGGCACGAUGCCCUGGGGCGCCUAGCCUGGGAGAUGCUGCCCGGGGAUGGAUGGGACGCGCUUGAGUCCCAUCUUGUUCCAUCCCCCUCUACGCCGCGAACACAGUCUCUGGCUCCUCACCUGUGUUAUCGGACGCUCAGCUGUUAUUUAGAGCCACUUGCUCAGUGCUGGAGCAGCUAAUGUCACCAAAGCCCACAUUGUUCCGUUCCUGUUUUCUGUGACUUGGCUGACCAGUUCAGGCCCUAUGCAGGAGGACAGUUCAAUGGGGACUGUGCUACAGCGGCCUUUCCCUUUGGAUUGAAGUCAGAGUGGGCUAAUCAACUUUAUUCCCAGCUGUAGAACGCGUACAGGGAAAGACGCAAACGCCCAUGCUACCGCAACAGAGCCCCGAGAAACAGGACAAUGUGCCUGGGAACAAGUGAAUGCUGAGGAUGGGUUUUGGUUCAGUACCUUGGUGGUGGUGGUAUUUCCCCUCCUCAUCUCUCUAAUUGUGUGUACUUUGCAUUAUUAUUUGCAGACUAUCACAUCGCAUACUAUUCUCUAUAGUUCCCAGCUCUGAGAACUUCAUGUGGCUUCCCCAGCUCUGGGAGUGUCACAAAUAGGCAGGUUCAAAUCAGUGGUUUGACAGACAGGCAAGAAGAGCCAGCGUAAAUGUUGCACGCAUGUACCCUUAUUGGUGCUUCUCUCUCCUCCCUCCCCCUGACCUUUCCUCCACUAGGCAGCCAGUAGCUGCUGGAACCUCAACCCCAGAGGGAGGGGAAACAAGAAGAGUUCCUUAAAUUGCUUCCUGAGCUCCUGAAGGGCUCCUGUGAUUAAACGCAGACACAGUCGUGGACUGAGGAUUGAACCCAGGGCAGUUCUCAACACCAGCAAUUGGACUAACCCACUGUCAUGUUCUGCAGGGUCAGGCUUGUCAGUCAUUUAUCUACGUGGAGCCCUGGCCCCAGUCACAAGCUGUGGAAGCUGAGCUGCCUUCUGCCUCGGUGCCCAAAGCUGAGCUGUAGAGGAACCAAGAUGUCUGCGGGUCAGAGUCAGAAAGUUGAGACCCGGGACAAAUGCACCUUGCAAGAGCUGAAGGUGCCGUUUGCCAGGACUGAAGUUGGGACCUUUUUCCAAGAGCAGCCCAGGAUUGGAAACCAGUACCUAGAAGAUGCUUUCCUUCAGCGUUACUUGAAAACACACCUGCCAUCCCAGGUCCCGAACACGAACCAUGACAUCCCACUGUUGCACCAGCACUCUGCUGUUCAUAGGUGUCUGGAGUCUGAUGCUGUCCAGGGUCUAUGCUGAACCUGUGAUUCCUCUGAACCUCUGGAGGUGCUUGCCAGCUGGAGCCCAGGAAGUAAAAUUGCUGUGCCACAUGAAUGGAUUCUAUGGCAAUGGAAGCAACCCCCUUUACCUAACUGUAGUGUCGCUACCAGUUCUACGCUGUCGGCAACUCAUUGGGUUGCCCUUGGGAAAGCGUUGCCAACUGCAUGCAGAGUGCCACUGGGGAGUCACUCAAGUUUUGUUAUGAAACUAAGACCACACAAGACUCCAUCCCAUUCUUCUGUAAGCCGUUGUGGUCUCGAGAGGGUCGUACACCAUCAAACGCAACCAAUGACAGCCUCCCAGGUGGCAUAAGGUGCAGGAUAGUCCUGGUUUUCUCCGCUCUUUGGGGAGCAGCCAUGCCUCCCCAAUUGUCAUAGACGUCGGAACCUAGACACUUCCAUUACCCGGAGAUGAACUGCAGCUGUCUCUGAUCACAUCAGCAGGCAAGAAUAUCACACGGUUCCUCGUAAACUGGGAACUGUUGAACUGAACUGGACUUUAGCUGGACAUGACUUGAUUCAGCAAGGUCCCCCGAUCUCCAUCCUUUCAUUUUAUGCUCGCAUUACAGGCUCCGGGGCUGAGAGAUUGUUCCUUUUGGGGUUUUAAGGUCAGCACACGCUCUGGACUUUCAAAUUUUUUAAAUGCUGCUCAAGUUUUAUCUUACUAUUUAAGAAAUAUGUUUUUUUUACCUAAUUCCCAGGGUUAUAUUAGUAAAUUAAUUGUCUUUCAGUGGUCAUAGGUGAUGCAUUUGAUUAUACAUUUGGAGUGGAAUUUUUAUUAAAAUAGCAUCUGAAAUCUGAUCAGUUGCUUCAAGAACAUUAAGUGUAUUAACACAUGCAAAUCUGAGACCCAAGAGCGGCUUAGCGGCAGUAUAAAUUGUUAGAGCCUAGGGAUUACUUGUUUGUAACACCAUUUAUUCUGCUGUCACCUCCAAGUGACUAUUUAGAUAUUAAUACAUUUGUCAUUUACAUACACAGUGA